AAAAUAAUAAAUACCCAUAUAUGCUUUCAGAAAACCUCUAACCCAGACAUAUGCUUUUAGGUCAAAAGGAGCUUCUUUGCUUGUUUUCUGACUUCAGCAUUUUACAGGCUUUAAAAAAUGCUGUAAUGAAGCCUGAAAGGGGAAGAAGAAAAUGUGGUAGAGGGUUAGGAGGCUCGGGUUUAAUUCUCUGCUGCUGUUUUCUUUUGUCAUUUCAGUAAGGAGCAGCCUGGAGGGAAGGAAGGAGUUCCCCAGCCGCCUCUGGACUAAAGAGCCACCGGACAGAGAAAACUGCUGACUGACAGUGUCGCCAUUCACGUAAGCAUCUGGUUUAUCUCCAGGUUCUUAUUCUUUGUUAUAUUAACAUAUUCUAUGUUAACUUUGAUUUCUUGGCAAACUGGUGGAAGUGGAAACGGAAAAACAUGAAUUUGUAGGCAGUCUGCAAGCAGGACCUACAUAUCUGACUCUGGCUGUCUUGUGCUCUGUAAAGCUGCUGUGAGCAAAGUUGAAAAACCACCUGUGUAGAAACUGGUAGUGCAACGUGUGAUGUAACGUGUGAGCAUGAUUACAGGGUUGGGUCAGGGAAACCACCACGAGCGAGGGGGAAGCAGUAUGAAAGGAGGAAGCAGAAGCUGAAACAUACCUCUAAAAGAGCAGCGGAGAAAUGGUUGAAGAAACGACAGUCUAAAAUUAAAUCUGGAAGGAAACUUGUGAUCUCUGCAACACCACUGUGUCAGAAAUCUUCAGAAACUGGCAACAUGGUCCUUUGCUGGAUUAGUGAAGGAUUCUUUUGCAUCUACCUUUUGCAUAACUUAGCAAUGCUGUAAAUGCAGAAAACGCAUUGCCGAGAGAAGCGAUACUCCCAGUCACACUUCUCUAGAGAGCUGGGAACCUUUAAACAGCACUCUGGGCAGAGAGUAGUUAUUUCCCAUUCCCCCUCAUUAAGAGAAGCAUAGUUACAGCCUAGCAGUGCCACAACUUGUGCUGCACUGUAUAAGCACCAGGGUGUUUACACACCAUCAUCAGAAACAGCCGUACUCUGUGUGCUGGGAGCAGUCUGCCAGGAACCUCUC
rnacentral:lncRNA from 1 species